rnacentral:rRNA from 1 species
UGGGGAAUUUUGCGCAAUGGGGGAAACCCUGACGCAGCAACGCCGCGUGAGUGAUGAAGGCUCUUGGGUCGUAAAGCUCUGACAGAGGGAAAGAAGUGUAUUGUGGCUAAUAUCCACGAUACUUGACGGUACCCUCAAAGGAAGCACCGGCUAACUCCGUGCCAGCAGCCGCGGUAAUACGGGGGGUGCAAGCGUUGUUCGGAUUUAUUGGGCGUAAAGCGCGUGUAGGCGGUUUGUUAAGUCUGUUGUGAAAGCCCUGGGCUCAACCCGGGAAGUGCACUGGAUACUGGCAAACUUGAAUACGGGAGAGGAGAGUGGAAUUCCUGGUGUAGGAGUGAAAUCCGUAGAUAUCAGGAGGAACACCGGUGGCGAAGGCGGCUCUCUGGACCGAUAUUGACGCUGAGACGCGAAAGCGUGGGUAGCAAACA